rnacentral:lncRNA from 1 species
ACGUUCUCGGAUGAGUUAUCUUAGUUGAUGGGUUUAUUCAGUAAGUUCGACUAAAAAAGAUUUUUUUUUUCUUGCGGAAUUAGCGAACAACUUUGGUUUGUCUCUGAUAGUAUGCUUAUCUUGGGUUUAAAAUAUGCAAACUAGACAUAAUGCGCAUUGGGCUAAUAUUAUAUUGUAAUUUGUUAAGAUACUUGGAUAUUGUUCAAAACUUUGUCAGCAUUGUUGGUGCGGAGAUCCAUAGCUGAUAACUUAUUUGCACUAUUAUGCAAAUUUAGCUUCAAGUUUGGUGAAAAUGCUUAUAAUAGGCUGAGCAGUAUUCCGUGUCAUCGGUCACUUAAGGUGCAUGACCAGAUCAACUAGUGUCAACUGCCAUUAUAAUUGAGAUGGGGGAUGGUAUAUUGAGGAUGAGCACCUACAAAAUAUGUUGG